GCCUGGCUGGCUCAGUCUGUGGAGCAUGUGACUGUUGAUCUCAGGGUCAUGGGUUCAAGCUCCACGUUGGGUG
rnacentral:tRNA from 1 species